rnacentral:rRNA from 1 species
UACGGAGGGUGCAAGCGUUAUCCGGAUUCACUGGGUUUAAAGGGUGCGUAGGCGGGCAGGUAAGUCAGUGGUGAAAUCUCCGAGCUUAACUCGGAAACUGCCGUUGAUACUAUUUGUCUUGAAUAUUGUGGAGGUAAGCGGAAUAUGUCAUGUAGCGGUGAAAUGCUUAGAUAUGACAUAGAACACCAAUUGCGAAGGCAGCUCACUACACAAUCAUUGACGCUGAGGCACGAAAGCGUGGGGAUCAAACAGG